ensembl:snoRNA
CCGGAGGUGAUGACAGUUACCAACUGAUGCCGGUGAUGUUGGUGGUAUUCGUACUGGCUGAUCCGG